GACGAACGCUGGCGGCGUGCUUAACACAUGCAAGUCGUACGGUAAGGCCCUUUCGGGGGUUCACGAGUGGCGCACGGGAGGGUAACACGGGAGUAACCUGCCCACAACUUUGGGAUAACGCUAGGAAACUGGUGCUAAUACUGGAUAUAUGCUUCUGCAGCAUGGAGGGGGUUGGAAAGCUCCGGCGGAUUUGGAUGGACGCGCGGCCUAUCGGCUUGUUGGUGGGGUAGUGGCCUCCCAAGCCGGCGACGGGUAGCCGGCCUGAGAGGGUGACCGGCCACCUAGGGACUGAGGUACGGCCCAGACUCCUACGGGAGGCAGCAGUGGGGAAUAUUAUACAAUGGGGGCAAGCCUGAUGCAGCAGCGCCGCGUGCGGGAUGCCGGCCUUCGGGUUGUGAACCGCUUUCAGCAGGGACGAAGCUUUUUGUGAGGGAACCAGCAGAAGAGGCACCGGCUACCUCCGG
rnacentral:rRNA from 1 species